UCAAUUCCUUGCUAAAGCAGCCUUACCUAGAGCAGGUUUCACAAGAUCAUGUCCUGGUGGUUUUUUAAUAUCUCCAGAGAAGGUGACUUCACAAUCUUUCUGGACAGCCUGUUCCAGGGCUCUGUCACCCUUGCAUUCUGUUCGAAGCUGCUUCAUAUCUUGCAAAUCCAAGCCAAGUCAACAGCAGCCACAAGGAAUAGUCUUGGAAUGAUAAGCAAAGUAAGGAAAACUGGACUUUCCUUUAGAAGAGCAGGACUGUUGGACAAAUAGGUGGUCUUCCUCGCUGGUCUCGUCUGAUCUUCAUUGUGCAAGACCAAGAAAAUGCAGCUCACACCAUCCCACUGCCACUGCGAGAGAGUCCUACAGUUAAUAUGGGAUAAGUGAUGUUGUUCAGGGACUGAAAUAUGAUGACCUCUCUUCCUCAGAGCCCAUCAGAGAUGCAGCAUGACGCCUUCCUCUGCAUGUCUGCAUCAAGCAAGGACGGAGGGACCUAAAAACUUCAUACUGCCAGAAACUGACAGAGACACUGAGUCUAAUUAUCCCAAGUUCUUCAUUCCCUUUCACUUCAGUGAAAAUACAGAGAACCUGCCUUGAUUACAGUGGAUGGUGAGAGUAAGCAAUGCACAUUCAACAAGGAGCUUAAGAGGGGAAAAGUGAGGGGAAAUUGCUAUGUAUAGACAUCACAGCCAUUGAAAGACCUUUAACCUGUUUAUCUUCCCUUAAUAAAGU